rnacentral:miRNA from 1 species
UAAUUGCUUCCUUGAUU